rnacentral:lncRNA from 1 species
GGGUGUAGGUGGGUGGGAAAUUGAAAGUCUUUACUUUUCUGGCAAAACAAAAAUAGCGUCUAGUAGCAUUCAGUGCAAUUGCGAUAAUGCGGGCGCAACUUGACGCUUGUUGAAAGUUAGCAUGCACUUUAACCUCAUUGGUCAAUUAAAAUAUUUGUGGCCAAUGAUAAUUAGUAUUGACCCUGAUCAUGCCAUGACCAUGCUGACCUUGACUGCCUGUAAUCGAAAACUUGCAUAAUUCCUAGACAAAGACCAUGGAAAUUUUCGGUUUCUUAUUACACCAUUGAUAAGAAAUAAAACCUACACAAGUUGAAACAGUAGCCCAUAAAGCUAAAAUUUAGUGUAUAAAAAUUUACUGCCAAAAAUGUUUUUAUUAUAAUAAAACUUAUUUUUUGUCAGCUAAACUUUUCUUCCUAUCCAAAUAAAGACAUGAAAAUGGAAACCAAGGAUGCGAGUUCAUUUGCAGAAUAUCUAACUCAAGAUUUGUGAAAAAGGUCAUUUAUUCAGAAUAUCAUAAAGCAUUAUAUAACUGACAGUGAUGGACAAUUAUGUCAUCAAACAAAACUGAAUAAAUGACAACAAUUGCAAAGGUGGGGAAUAAAUACCGCCAUGAUCCCCAAGUCCCUGAGUUGGGGAGACCGCCACCCGAGACAUCCUUGGAGACUACUUUUUAUGACAAAAGGAAAAAUUCAGAAAAAUAACAUAUCUUUCAACUCAAAACAUUAGUGUAAAUAAAAAAAUUAGGCAGAGCAAGCCCUGUUGACCUCUACCGUAACUGUUUGGCCAGUAGAAAUGCCAAUGUAAAGCAAACCCUUUUGACCUUUACAUUCCCAUGUCAUACUGCUUGAAGUUCAUCCUAUUACCAACAUUAAAGUAACUUAAAUGUGUAAGGUACGCAGAGUGAAACAAUAUAAUCAAAGACAAAAUACAUAGUUAUAAAUAAAAAUUAGCAAAAAUGAAAAAAAAAUACAAUACAAAUAUAUUUACAUAUCAUUUUGCAAACAAUAUUGAACAAUGGAUUGAGCAAGCCCUGUUGACCUCUAUCCAAUUUGACAUAAAAGUCUACUCUAAAUAAACGCAAUUAAAAGAAAAGAGUAAAAGAUAGAGCAAGCCCUGUUGACCUCUACCAGCUUAAUUAAUACAUAAUGGAAAAAUAUAAUUUAUUUGGCAGAGCAAGCCCUGUUGACCCCGUCAAAUCAUACUCAAAAAUUAUCCAUUCGAAUGUAAUUUUGCAAUGCAUUUGAUUUCCAUCUACCCAUUUGUUGUAUAACAGAUAAAGAUGUGCCUUUAGCUGCUUCACUUGUUGCAGCGCCUAUUCUAAAACUAUGACCCUUGUAAAGCUCUGGGCUUAAACCUAUAAAAAUUAAUAGGGACUUCAAAGAGGAAUUAAAAUAAGUGUAUGAUACUGGUGUACCACAAAGAAAUUGAAAAAGGGGACCUGACUUGUGUUUUGCUACCUUUAUAUAAUCCAUCAUUGUUUUUACAGGGCAAAACAUAUUACCAAAGUUUCGAGUAAUUAAAAUAGUCUUGGGACGCAAGUCACUAUGUUUAUAAAAUGUUAUUGUGACGGUCAUAUUUAUUGGGACCUGAUUUUUAUAACCCACAGAAAUGUCUGACAACUGUAAAACUUUGUUAUUUUCAUUUUUGUUUUUAACAGCAAUUUCUCCUAUCCUGAGGAAACAAUGAAAUGCCAAAGACAUCAUAGCCUUUAAAAGGAACUGAUUGAACUGAUCCCGU